UUAUUUGAGAGUUUGAUCCUGGCUCAGGAUGAACGCUGGCGGCGUGCCUAACACAUGCAAGUUGAGCGAUUUACUUCGGUAAAGAGCGGCGGACGGGUGAGUAACGCGUGGGUAACCUACCCUGUACACACGGAUAACAUACCGAAAGGUAUGCUAAUACGGGAUAACAUAUUUGAGAGGCAUCUCUUGAAUAUCAAAGGUGAGCCAGUACAGGAUGGACCCGCGUCUGAUUAGCUAGUUGGUAAGGUAACGGCUUACCAAGGCGACGAUCAGUAGCCGACCUGAGAGGGUGAUCGGCCACAUUGGAACUGAGACACGGUCCAAACUCCUACGGGAGGCAGCAGUGGGGAAUAUUGCACAAUGGGCGAAAGCCUGAUGCAGCAACGCCGCGUGAGUGAUGAAGGCCUUCGGGUCGUAAAACUCUGUCCUCAAGGAAGAUAAUGACGGUACUUGAGGAGGAAGCCCCGGCUAACUACGUGCCAGCAGCCGCGGUAAUACGUAGGGGGCUAGCGUUAUCCGGAUUUACUGGGCGUAAAGGGUGCGUAGGCGGUCUUUCAAGUCAGGAGUGAAAGGCUACGGCUCAACCGUAGUAAGCUCUUGAAACUGGGAGACUUGAGUGCAGGAGAGGAGAGUGGAAUUCCUAGUGUAGCGGUGAAAUGCGUAGAUAUUAGGAGGAACACCAGUUGCGAAGGCGGCUCUCUGGACUGUAACUGACGCUGAGGCACGA
rnacentral:rRNA from 1 species